rnacentral:rRNA from 1 species
UCCGUAGGUGAACCUGCGGAAGGAUCAUUAGUGAUUGCCUUAAUUGGCUAACUAUAUCCAUCUACACCUGUGAACAGUUCGAUUGAAUCUUACGAUUCAAUUUUACAAACAUUGUGUAAUGAACGUCAUUAGAUCAUAACAUGAAAAAACUUUCAACAACGGAUCUCUUGGCUCUCGCAUCGAUGAAGAACGCAGCGAAUUGCGAUAAGUAAUGUGAAUUGCAGAAUUCAGUGAAUCAUCGAAUCUUUGAACGCAACUUGCGCUCUCUGGUAUUCCGGAGAGCAUGCCUGUUUGAGUGUCAUGAAAUCUCAACCAUUAGGGUUUCUUAAUGGCUUGGAUUUGGAGGUUGCCAGUCUGACUGGCUCCUCUUAAAGGAGUUAGCAAGUUUGACUAUUGCUAUCUGGCGUAAUAAGUUUCGCUGGAAUGGUAUUGUGAAGCGUGCUUCUAAUCGUCUUCGGACAAUUUUUUGACUCUGGCCUCAAAUCAGGUAGGACUACCCGCUGAACUUAAGCAUAUCAAUAAGCGGAGGA